rnacentral:antisense_RNA from 1 species
ACCGCUAGCUGCUCGGCUGUGGGUUAGCAGCACCCUGACCGGAGUGGCCCCCGCGUAACCCCGAGGCCGAGACUCCCGGCCUGGCCUCCUUGGGCCCACGACGCCUGCCCCGCGGAGCGGACCCAUGGGCCUGAGGUUUGUGUGCGGGGCCUCAGGCGAGCGCUGGCGCAGCCUGUCCCCCACCCUCUGCGCCCUGCGGGCCUGGCCCUCCCCGUGGAAGGACCGCGGGCUUCGGGGCCCCACGCCGGGGGGCUGACCCCUGCCACACAUACAGCGGUGGCUGCGGGCCUGGGGCGGCAGCACAGCUAUUCUGCUCGGGCUGCGUGAGCCGACCCCGCUGUCUCUGCACCUACUUUUGCUGCGUUUGGUGCUGAUCCUGAAGUCCCAGGACAGGCGGCUGAGGGGGAAAGAUGAUGUGAAUUGGGUGGGCAGAGACAACUGAAAGCCACAGGACCCGGUUGGCACCUUUUUGGCCUCCUGGGCCUUUGCCUGCAGCCCCGCUCCCUGGGUCACCCGAAAGGAGGAGCUGGCGCUCUUUCCGGGCGCAGCAGCACCUGACCCACGCUGGAGGAAACGGUCCCCCUGGGCAGGAGAAGCUUUGGACCUGGCUGGAGCACACUCACGGAACCGCGCCAACGCCUGGCCUGUAGCCAGCUCCCACCUCCACUCCCACUUUCUAAAAUGCUUGCGGAUCUCGUGGCCGACCCUAACCAGAUACACAUGGGGAAAGUAAUCAGGUGGCGCACACACACUGCCUUUACGCCAUGGAGAACUUCCAAUUGUGGGUCGGCACAGACACAACCCAGUCUCCUCCCACCUCCCACAGUGCAGUGUCCUGAAUGGAGGACCCCAGCACCCAGAGGCAUCCACUGAAGGACUCUAAAUUCUACACAUGAAGGCAAACGUCUGUGGUUGACAGAAAUUACACUGGCCAGAAUCCCCAGUCCCCAUGAGGCUUGUCCAGAUGCAAUGAACCAGUCGCAGCUGACAUCACGCAGACCAUUCCUGAUCCCAGAGGUGCAUUUCGGGAUUCAUUCUAUUUCAUCAGAGACGGGGUCUUCCUGUGUUGCCCAGGCUGGUCUCGAACUCCUGGGCUGAAGCAAUCUUCCUGCCUUGGCCUCCCAGAGGGUUGGAAUUGCAGAUGUGAGGUGAGUCCUGGAACCCUGGCUGCACCCACAGACACAGCCACUCCUGGGCCCAUGUGGAUGGAACCUUCGAGUGCCAGAAUGCCUCGUCUCCAUGGAGACCAAAGUCAAGGGCCUGACUGGCCCAGUCUACCGAGACCACGAGCCCUGUUGUGCCCCUCAGCCAGGCCAACCCAAAUUCUUUUAAAUAAAAGGCACAAGCCACA